rnacentral:rRNA from 1 species
UUGAACGCUGGCGGCAUGCCUUACACAUGCAAGCCGAACGGUAGAGGGGCAACCCUUGAGAGUGGCGAACGGGUGAGUAAUAUAUCGGAACGUGCCCAGUCGUGGGGGAUAACGCAGCGAAAGCUGCGCUAAUACCGCAUACGAUCUAUGGAUGAAAGCGGGGGAUCGCAAGACCUCGCGCGAUUGGAGCGGCCGAUAUCAGAUUAGGUAGUUGGUGGGGUAAAAGCCCACCAAGCCGACGAUCUGUAGCUG